rnacentral:rRNA from 1 species
CGUAGGUGGCAAGCGUUGUCCGGAAUUAUUGGGCGUAAAGCGCGCGCAGGCGGUUCCUUAAGUCUGAUGUGAAAGCCCCCGGCUCAACCGGGGAAGGUCAUUGGAAACUGGGGAACUUGAGUGCAGAAGAGAAGAGCGGAAUUCCACGUGUAGCGGUGAAAUGCGUAGAGAUGUGGAGGAACACCAGUGGCGAAGGCGGCUCUUUGGUCUGUAACUGACGCUGAGGCGCGAAAGCGUGGGGAGCAAACAGGAUUAGAUACCCUGGUAGUCCACGCCGUAAACGAUGAGUGCUAAGUGUUAGAGGGUUUCCGCCCUUUAGUGCUGCAGCUAACGCAUUAAGCACUCCGCCUGGGGAGUACGGCCGCAAGGCUAG